AUUGAACGCUGGCGGCAGGCCUAACACAUGCAAGUCGAGCGGUAGAGAGGUGCUUGCAUCUCUUGAGAGCGGCGGACGGGUGAGUAAUGCCUAGGAAUCUGCCUAGUGGUGGGGGAUAACGUUCGGAAACGGACGCUAAUACCGCAUACGUCCUACGGGAGAAAGCGGGGGAUCUUCGGACCUCGCGCCAUUAGAUGAGCCUAGGUCGGAUUAGCUAGUUGGUGAGGUAAUGGCUCACCAAGGCGACGAUCCGUAACUGGUCUGAGAGGAUGAUCAGUCACACUGGACCUGACGACACGGUCCAGACUCCUACGGGAGGCAGCAGUGGGGAAUAUUGGACAAUGGGCGAAAGCCUGAUCCAGCCAUGCCGCGUGUGUGAAGAAGGUCUUCGGAUUGU
rnacentral:rRNA from 1 species